CAGCCGCCACGGUAAUACGUAGGUGGCAAGCGUUGUCCGGAAUUAUUGGGCGUAAAGCGCGCGCAGGUGGUUUAAUAAGUCUGAUGUGAAAGCCCACGGCUCAACCGUGGAGGGUCAUUGGAAACUGUUAAACUUGAGUGCAGGAGAGAAAAGUGGAAUUCCUAGUGUAGCGGUGAAAUGCGUAGAGAUUAGGAGGAACACCAGUGGCGAAGGCGGCUUUUUGGCCUGUAACUGACACUGAGGCGCGAAAGCGUGGGGAGCAAACAGGAUUAGAUACCCCGGUAGUCCCUGUCUCUUAUAC
rnacentral:rRNA from 1 species